GGAUGAACGCUGGCGGCGUGCCUAAUACAUGCAAGUCGAACGCGAAAGGUCCAAAGCCUUCGGGCAGCGGGCCGAGUAGAGUGGCGAACGGGUGAGGAACACGUAGGUGACCUACCCUGAAGAGGGGGAUAACUGGCGGAAACGGCAGCUAAUACCCCAUGAGCUCACACGGGUUAGAGGCCGGGUGAGAAAACACUCAGGUGCUUCAGGAGGGGCCUGCGGCCCAUCAGCUAGUUGGUGAGGUAAGAGCUCACCAAGGCUCAGACGGGUAGGGGGCCUGAGAGGGUGGUCCCCCACAUGGGAACUGAGACACGGUCCCAACUCCUACGGGAGGCAGCAGUAAGGAAUAUUGCACAAUGGGCGCAAGCCUGAUGCAGCAACGCCGCGUGCCCGAGGAAGGCCUUCGGGUUGUAAAGGGCUUUUCUGGCUGAAGAGCAAGGACGGUAGGCCAGGAAUAAGCGUCGGCUAACUACGUGCCAGCAGCCGCGGUAAAACGUAGGACGCGAGCGUUAUCCGGAUUUACUGGGCGUAAAGCGCGGGCAGGCGGCUGUUCAAGUCGGACGUGAAAGCUCCCGGCUCAACCGGGAGAGGCCGUUCGAAACUGGGCAGCUAGAGGGCAGCAGAGGGGCGUGGAAUUCCGGGUGGAGUGGUGAAAUGCGUAGAGAUCCGGAGGAACACCAGAGGCGAAGGCGGCGCCCUGGGCUGCACCUGACGCUGAGCCGCGAAAGCCAGGGUAGCGAACGGGAUUAGAAACCCCGGUAGUCCUGGCCGUAAACGAUGUCCACUAGAUGUCGGGCCGUGAAGGCUCGGCGUCGCAGCUAACGCAGUAAGUGGACCGCCUGGGGAGUACGGCCGCAAGGCUA
rnacentral:rRNA from 1 species